GACGAACGCUGGCGGCGUGCUUAACACAUGCAAGUCGAACGGAAAGGCCCCCUUGUGGGGUACUCGAGUGGCGAACGGGUGAGUAACACGUGAGUAACCUACCCUUGACUUUGGGAUAACUUCAGGAAACUGGGGCUAAUACUGGAUAGGAGCUCCUGCUGCAUGGUGGGGGUUGGAAAGUUUCGGCGGUUGGGGAUGGACUCGCGGCUUAUCAGCUUGUUGGUGGGGUAGUGGCUCACCAAGGCUUUGACGGGUAGCCGGCCUGAGAGGGUGACCGGCCACAUUGGGACUGAGAUACGGCCCAGACUCCUACGGGAGGCAGCAGUGGGGAAUAUUGCACAAUGGGCGGAAGCCUGAUGCAGCAACGCCGCGUGCGGGAUGACGGCCUUCGGGUUGUAAACCGCUUUCGCCUGUGACGAAGCGUGAGUGACGGUAAUGGGUAAAGAAGCACCGGCUAACUACGUG
rnacentral:rRNA from 1 species